rnacentral:rRNA from 1 species
CAGCCCCUCGAGUGGUGGGGAUGAUUAUUUGGCCUAAAGCGUCCGUAGCCGGCCGAGUAAGUCCCCCGUUAAAUCCAGCGUCUCAAGCGUUGGACUGCGGGAGAUACUACUUGGCUAGAGAGUGGGAGAGGUCAGCGGUAUUCUGGGGGUAGGGGCGAAAUCCUUUGAUCCCCGGAGGACCACCAGUGGCGAAGGCUGCUGACUAGAACACGUCUGACGGUCAGGGACGAAAGCUGGGGUAGCGAACCGGAUUAGAUACCCGAGUAGUCC